UAAAACAAACAUACCCGCAUAUCUCCAACAUUUAAAAAUUAGAUGAGGGACCAGAAAACAAACUGGACGAGUUUUUCAGUGCUGCUUUAAUGUGCUCAAGGAGAAGAUGCUGCUUAACAAGUAGUCUGCCAAAUCCUGUAUCAGCUGCAGUUUCCAGACAGAAGUAAAAUGCAGUCCCACGUAGAGCACAUUACGGUAUCUAACCUGGCAGUCACAAUAGGUGAUUGAUGCAAGAUUCUCUCCCAGCAGAAAAAGUAUUUGACACAAGAGGUUACUUAGCAACAUUUAGACAUAGGGCUAAAAUGACAAUAGGAUAGAGGUUUAAUAAGGGACUACAAGAGGACCAAAUUUCAAGACUGACCACAAUAAUGGGAGGAAGUGCAAAUGGCAUCUUUCCACAUGACCAAGACUCCCACAGGAAAGGGGAAGGAUAGCCCAAAUCUCUUUGGACUCCAGUUGAAUUUGGUCAGCAGUUGCUGUGAUGGGGACCUGUGCACACCCUACAGCCCAGAUACGGUCUAUAGAAAGGUCCCCAAAGAGAAGAGGCCGCUGCGCCGCCCGCGGAGCGCUGAGGUCGGCUGGUGGGCCAGCUCCCUGCAACAGCGCCCUCGCUGCCGCGACGUGGCUGAGCUGCCGGACAAGCCUGGAGUGAAAAGGAAAUUAAUUGCAAAAAGAAGAAGAAGAAGAAGAAGAAGAAGAAGAAGAAGAAGAAGAAGAAGAGGAAGAAGAGGAAGAAGAGGAAGAAGAAGAAGAAGAGUGAGCACCAGUAUAUGAAGCUGUGCUGGCAUCAGACAUAAAAGACUGAUUUGUUAUCAUUAAGAACUUAGCAUGAUUUCUUUAUCUAUGUGGAUGGGGUUUUUUUUUUUCGUCCUCAAAAACAUGUCAGCCAACCUGUGCUAAAGACUCAGGUGAGAUAUAGCAUUAUGAAGGCACUUGAAACAGCAUCCUCCCAUCCCCCGGAAAGAAUUCAGCAGCAGUAAUUCCUCAGUCUGAAAUUCUGUGAGAUUUUAAGCAGAAUAGUUCUGCUCAUGGCCUUGCAACCUUCUUCAGAACUCUAAUGGUUUCUAAGGUCUUUAGAUCCAGACUCUGAGCUCAUCCAGCUGUUGGCAAUUUUGUUGUGAUUUUUACAGUGGUAUUGUUGGUCUAUAAUAUUUCUUUAAGUUAUGUAAUUUUAUAAAAACACAAUUUUGAUGUUAUCUGUUCAGAUGGAGCCUCAGACUCUCUUCAGUUAAACUAUUUGGAGAAACAUGAGUUACAUAAAUACUUUGAAUCUCUCAGCGAUAAUCAAGUUUGAUUUUGUCACUGCCUACAACAAAUUCCAGUUCACAGAUGUUAAAUGGAAAGAUA
rnacentral:lncRNA from 1 species